UAAAACUCUCUUAACUCAACCGUCAGUCGUAUCCAUUUUCAAUCUCCAAGGGCUCUUUACGGCACUCGACUUCGAUCAGAUGGAGCAAACCCUGUGGGGACAUUUGCCAUUACUUGUGAGAGCAAACUCCAAAGAAUCGGUGGAGUUCAUUCUUCAAGCUCUCUGGAGGACUCGAAAGACCGGUCUCGAUGCCGCCGACCGCCACCUUCUUCGCGACAUGCUCCAGCUCCAAAAUGACUCCGACUUUGACCCUCUCUUGGUUUGCCUCCGGAUGUUGAUACGUAGGUGCGUUUAUGAGGAUAUCAGUAAGGACGAGAUUCAUAAGCUGUUCCCCGAUGAGGUCCUGCCCGAAUUGCAGAGAUUGUUGACACUUCUGCUCCAAAAGUUCCAAAAAGAAUGGCGAGAUGACGUGUUCAAGAAUCAGGUUACACUUCCCCGCUUGAAGGAAAUGACAUGGAAUAUGGCAAACCCAGAGGCAGAGGCUACGGACCCUGUGGCUGUUAUCAAUUUGAAGCUUCAAAAGGAUGAUCGGGCUCAUCCAGGGGAGUUGGAAGUGAAGUUCCAAUUAGCUAAAGAUACUAUGGAAACAAUGUUAAGAUCCAUGUACAGCAUGAGAGAUCAUUUGUCUGACCCGGGUGAAGCAUCUAACAGGUCCCAGGAAAUGAAUGCAGCAUGAUUUACCAGUUUGCCUCAAAACAAAAUGGUUAGCUUGAUCCAAGUGAGAUGAAUUCUAAACAAUAGCCUUUUUUGAGCUACAUGGAGAAACUUGAUGUAGUUGAACUUGAAAUCAAUAUAUUGGGUCAAUCUACUUUCUAUUCCAAAAGGCGAGACUUUCGGAUGAGGAAUUUGUUAUUUGUGUGAGACAAUUUCCUUGCAGUCAGUUGUUAAAUUAGAUUGUUAUUUCUAAAAGGAGUUGGGUGGAUGAAGCGACAAACUUUUAUGGGUUGCCUGCUGAUUAAAGGACAUUGUGUGUUUUCAUCAUAUUUCCAAGUUCAAGAUUCUUAUCAUCUUGUUUAGUGGAAGUUGUCUUUUACUGUGUUUCAUUUCUCUUUGACAGACACCUUAACAACCGGAGAGUAGAUUUUUUUUAUCAACGAAGAAAAAUUUGAAGUCUGAGAUUAUCAUGAUCUUGUUCAGUGGAAGUAAUCUAUUAUUCUGUUUCAUUUCUAUUUGACAGACAGCUUAACGACCGGAAGGUGGACUUUUUACCGAGGAAGAAAAAGAAGACUAGACAGACAUCACCAGACUGGUAAAUUGUUGGCGUCACUCUGUAUUAAAACGGCGUCGUUCUGUUUUGUAUUUUCUUUUUGCUCUCUGUUAUUAAUUAGUUCGAGCGGACUACUUGACCGGUCAAAUUGGAUAUUUUUGUUUUUUAGUUUUUAUAUGUUCAUAAUAUUAUAAUCUAAACAUUUAAGAUCUAGAUGUUAGAGUCUGGUUUAAAUCAAGGAUUUGAAGUAUACCAGGGCUAGGAAUCAGAGGUUGGUAGUUGACAUCAUGUAUACACACAUAUAUAUAUAUAUAUGGUACGGAACCUGCAGGAGUUAUCAUAA